GAUGAACGCUGGCGGCGUGCCUAAUACAUGCAAGUCGAGCGAACAGAUGAGGAGCUUGCUCCUCUGACGUUAGCGGCGGACGGGUGAGUAACACGUGGAUAACCUACCUAUAAGACUGGGAUAACUUCGGGAAACCGGAGCUAAUACCGGAUAAUAUAUUGAACCGCAUGGUUCAAUAGUGAAAGACGGCUUUGCUGUCACUUAUAGAUGGAUCCGCGCCGCAUUAGCUAGUUGGUAAGGUAACGGCUUACCAAGGCAACGAUGCGUAGCCGACCUGAGAGGGUGAUCGGCCACACUGGAACUGAGACACGGUCCAGACUCCUACGGGAGGCAGCAGUAGGGAAUCUUCCGCAAUGGGCGAAAGCCUGACGGAGCAACGCCGCGUGAGUGAUGAAGGUCUUCGGAUCGUAAAGCUCUGUUAUUAGGGAAGAACAAAUGUGUAAGUAACUAUGCACGUCUUGACGGUACCUAAUCAGAAAGCCACGGCUAACUACGUG
rnacentral:rRNA from 1 species